UAUAACUUCACCUUGCUUCUCUCCGUUUCGCCAAAGCUUGAGGAAAAUCCGAAAAUCAAACAAGCCAAGAACUGAGAACUUGGAACUUCAAAAGCAAAGAAAAAACUCGAGGUUCGUUCGAUCUUUUACCGUGACUGACGCUCGCUCUAUGAGUGAUUUUGGCACACAAUUCACGUCCACGCAGUAGAAGUUGAUGCUGGUUCACGCAAGACUCGAGAUGAGAAUCGCCAAGAACGUCGAGACAAGAGGGAUUUCUUACUGUGGAUAGAACUCGGCCCCAAGCUUCUCGAGCUUGGGCUUCAAGUAGAUGCACUUCCGACACCACAGUGCCAUCCUGGAAGGUUUGGAGUUUUACCAAAUGAUAUGCGGUGCUCGAAAGUUACCAUUCGAUCACUGCUCCUUUGUUGGAU